rnacentral:rRNA from 1 species
CACGGAGGGUGCAAGCGUUGUCCGGAAUCACUGGGCGUAAAGGGCGCGUAGGCGGCUCAUGAAGGCUGUGGUGAAAGUCCGGGGCUCAACCUCGGAUCGGCCGUGGCGACUCGUGGGCUGGAGCACUGUAGAGGCGGGUGGAAUUCCGGGUGUAGCGGUGGAAUGCGUAGAGAUCCGGAAGAACACCAGUGGCGAAGGCGGCCCGCUGGGCAGUGGCUGACGCUGAGGCGCGACAGCGUGGGGGAGCAAACAGG